rnacentral:rRNA from 1 species
UACGUAGGGGCCGAGCGUUUGUCCGGAGUUAUUGGGCGUAAAGCGCGCGCAGGCGGCCUCGCGCGCCCGACGUGAAAGCCCCCGGCUUAACCGGGGAGGGUCGUUUGGGGACGGCGGGGCUUGAGGGCGGGAGAGGGCGGUGGAAUUCCCGGUGUAGUGGUGAAAUGCGUAGAUAUCGGGAGGAACACCAGUGGCGAAGGCGACUACCUGGCCUGUUCUUGACGCUGAGGCGCGAAGGUCAGGGGAGCAAACGGG